rnacentral:ncRNA from 1 species
UCUUAUCCAGAGAGACGGAGGGACUGGCCCUUUGAUGUCUCGGCAGCGGAUCUAUAUGCACUAUAUAUAGAAACUGUGCCAAUUCCUGCAAGCAUAUUGCUUGGAAGAUA